UACGAAGGGGGCUAGCGUUGUUCGGAAUUACUGGGCGUAAAGGGCGCGUAGGCGGCUCUUCAAGUUAGGCGUGAAAGCCCCGGGCUCAACCUGGGAAUUGCGUUUGAUACUGUGGGGCUUGAGUACGGGAGAGGAGAGUGGAAUUCCCAGUGUAGAGGUGAAAUUCGUAGAUAUUGGGAAGAACACCAGUGGCGAAGGCGGCUCUCUGGACCGAAACUGACGCUGAGGCGCGAAAGCGUGGGGAGCAAACAGG
rnacentral:rRNA from 1 species